rnacentral:misc_RNA from 1 species
GAUGAAGAACGUAGCGAAAUGCGAUACGUAAUGUGAAUUGCAGAUUUCAGUGAAUCAUCGAAUCUUUGAACGCACAUUGCGCCCGCCAGUAUUCUGGCGGGCAUGCCUGUUCGAGCGUCAUUUCAACCAUCAAGCCCCAGGCUUGUGUUGGGGACCUGCGGCUGCCGCAGGCCCUGAAAACCAGUGGCGGGCUCGCUGUCACACCGGGCGUAGUAGAUUUUAUCUCGCUCAGGGCGUGCUGCGGGUUCCGGCCGUUAAAAAGCCUUUUUUACCCAAGGUUGACCUCGGAUCAGGUAGGAAGACCCGCUGAACUUAAGCAUAUCAAUAAGCGGAGGA